rnacentral:rRNA from 1 species
GACGAGCGCUGGCGGCGUGCCUAAUACAUGCAAGUAGAACGCACAGUUUAUACCGUAGCUUGCUACACCAUAGACUGUGAGUUGCGAACGGGUGAGUAACGCGUAGGUAACCUGCCUGGUAGCGGGGGAUAACUAUUGGAAACGAUAGCUAAUACCGCAUAUUAUUAAUUAUUGCAUGAUAAUUAAUUGAAAGGUGCAAUUGCACCACUACCAGAUGGACCUGCGUUGUAUUAGCUAGUAGGUGAGGUAACGGCUCACCUAGGCGACGAUACAUAGCCGACCUGAGAGGGUGAUCGGCCACACUGGGACUGAGACACGGCCCAGACUCCUACGGGAGGCAGCAGUAGGGAAUCUUCGGCAAUGGACGAAAGUCUGACCGAGCAACGCCGCGUGAGUGAAGAAGGUUUUCGGAUCGUAAAGCUCUGUUGUAAGAGAAGAACGGGUGUGAGAGUGGAAAGUUCACACUGUGACGGUAUCUUACCAGAAAGGGACGGCUAACUACGUG